CAGCAUUUGUAGGUUAGAGGUUGAUGGUUUUUGCUGCCGCAGAGUUUCCAUGGAUCCCACCCCUCAACUUCUGACGUAUUGUGUUUUGCAGUUAGCACAACUGAACUGUGGGGCGUGUGGCCAAUGCUGAGGCUGAGGAGAGAGAGAUGGGCGUCAGGGGGAUGUGGCCAGGAGGAAAUAAGAGCAAAUUCCUCCAAAACGCUCUGACAGGAAAUGACAGAGUAUCAGUCUCCUACCACUCCACUCGGCCGCUUCUGGAGGGAAAAAGGCCUUCCUAAUCACGGAGCGGAGCCAGAGCGCAGUAGGGACGGUGGCUGCUACAUGCAGUUUCAGAUCAAUCUGCUAUCGUCACUGUGCCUGAGACCCAAAUAAUUUCUCUGUCAACUCUGGACACUUUGAAGGUAGAAAUCUCACUCGUUUAUCUUUUUAUAAGUAACUGCCCCUCCCCAUUCCAAUAGUGGGCAGAUUUUGUAAAAUAAACUGUGUAAAAUAAACUUUUGUAAAAUAAGUAAAAGAAGGACUUAUUUUAUUAAAUAUCU
rnacentral:lncRNA from 1 species